CAAUCCAUGAGUAAAGUGGCGUACGGGUGAGUAACACGUGGGUAAUCUGCCUUUUAGUGAGGAAUAACGAUGGGAAACCGUCGCUAAUACCGCAUGAGCCCGAGAGGGGAAAGUCGCAAGACGCUGAAAGAGGAGCCCGCGGCCGAUUAGCUAGUUGGUAGGGUAAAAGCCUACCAAGGCAGAGAUCGGUAGCCGGCCUGAGAGGGCACACGGCCACACUGGCACUGAAACACGGGCCAGACUCCUACGGGAGGCAGCAGUGGGGAAUCUUGCACAAUGGGGGCAACCCUGAUGCAGCGACGCCGCGUGAGCGAUGAAGCCCUUCGGGGUGUAAAGCUCUUUCGGCAGGGAAGAUAAUGACGGUACCUGCAGAAGCAGCUGCGGCUAACUACGUGCCAGCAGCCGCGGUAAUACGUAGGCUGCGAGCGUUGUUCGGAGUUACUGGGCGUAAAGGGUGUGUAGGCGGUUCUUUAAGUUUGGUGUGAAAUCUCCCGGCUUAACCGGGAGGGUGCGCCGAGUACUGAGGGACUAGAGUGUGGGAGAGGAAAGUGGAAUUCCUGGUGUAGCGGUGAAAUGCGUAGAUAUCAGGAGGAACACCGGUGGUGUAGACGGCUUUCUGGACCAUAACUGACGCUGAGACACGAAAGCGUGGGUAGCAAACAGGAUUAGAUACCCUGGUAGUCCACGCCCUAAACGAUGCAUAUUUGGUGUGGGUCAUUCAGUUGAUCCGUGCCGGAGCUAACGCGUUAAAUAUGCCGCCUGGGGAGUACAGUCGCAAGGCUGAAACUCAAAGGAAUUGACGGGGGCCCGCACAAGCGGUGGAGCAUGUGGUUCAAUUCGACGCAACGCG
rnacentral:rRNA from 1 species